GCCUUAACAUCUAGCCCGCACCACCCGCAUGAACUCCCCCUCCCACACAUACACAACAAAACAUUUUACCUCUUUAGUACAGGCGAUCGAAAAAUUUAUAGGCGCUUCAGAUUAAGUACSGCAAGGGAAAGAUGAAAUAAAAAUGAAAUAACUUUAAAGCCCCAAAUAGCASAGAUAUACCCUCGUACCUUUUGCAUCAUGGUCUAGCUAGUCUAAUCAAGCAAAAUGUAAACUUUAGUUUGACAUCCCGAAACUAAGUGAGCUACUUCAAAACAGCCCUAGGGGGCCAACCCGUCUCUGUUGCAAAAGAGUGGGAAGAUUUUCAAGUAGAGGUGAUAAGCCUAUCGAACUUAGAGAUAGCUGGUUAUUCUGAAAAAGAGUUUUAGCUCUGCCUUAAGUUUUAGCAUUAACCCAAACAAAUCUCUAAACUUAAGAGUUAUUCAAGUAAGGUUCAGCUUACUUGAAACAGGAUACAACCUCCGAUAUUGGGUAAAUGAGGAAAACCCAGACAAAGUGGGCCUAAAAGCAGCCAUCUUACAAAAAGCGUUAAAGCUUAAUCACUGAUUAUCUGUAAUUCCUUAAUUCCUUAUUAACCCCUCACCUUUACUGAAUCAUUUUAUAACAUUAUAAAAGCUAUUAUGCUAGAACUAGUAACAAGAAAAUGCCUUUCUCCUGAAUGUUAGCCAGAACCGAGAUAAACCCUGUCGGUAUUUAACGUAAAUGCUUUAAUUAUAGUAACACACACCAGAAAACCCUAUUAAUUCCAACGUCAACCUUACACUAGAACAUUACAGGAAAGAUAAAAGAAAGAGAA
rnacentral:rRNA from 1 species